AUGUACACUUCUUUUACAGUUAUUGGAAUGUCAAUGAAAAUAUCUCAGACAUAUGACAUCAGUCUCACUAACCAGAGUAGCACACCCUACAACGAAUUAUCUAAACGAAUUGAGUCAGCAAUUAACACAAGUUAUUCUAAAAAGAUAACUGGCUACGAGGUUGGUUCUGCUAAAGUCACUGGCUUCAGGUCUGGUAGUGUUAUAGCAGACUACACAAUAAUUGCAACAUCCAACAGCCUUGAUUUUGUAGCAGCAAACAUAGAGGUUUCAGACUCUCUAAGUACACAAGGAUUAAAUGUAACUAAAGAUGAUUUAAUUCUAAGUGCUCAAAAGGACCUAACAACAGAACCGUUAUAUCCUCUGCAAAAGGUGGUCCUGAACUGUACACAGACAGAAUUUGCAAAUGGACAAAUAAAAUGGACAGUGGAUGACAAAGAUCCUGCACUAAACAAAACAAGAUACUUAAUUUCACCUGACAACAGAACUCUCACUGUAAUUAAUGCUACUGAACAAGACAGUGGUCGAUACUCAUGCAUCAUACAAGGCAAUGUUACGUACGUUCAAUGGCAAAACAUUGCUAUUAAAAAACGCCCCAGUAUUAAUGUGGGUGAAAAGGACCACUAUAUUUUCUGUGAUGGCAGCAGUUUACAACUGAAAUGUUCUGUUGAUGUUGGCUACAAUAUUGAGUGGGUCCUUGGUGAAGAAGUAUUAAUGUCAGGUUGGACAUAAAAAAUGUUGCUAUACAAUUAUAAUUUUUUUUUUUAUAAAACAAUUACUGUUGUCAUUUAAACCUUAAAUGAAAUUCUUCUAUUGUAUA
ensembl:lncRNA